rnacentral:rRNA from 1 species
AUGCCUCUUGGUCAGAAGAUGAUGGCGAGUUCCUCAUUCCAAUUGAGUUUAUAUUGUGUAGGUUUCUUCGUCAUGAUCUGGAUUGCCGCAGUCAUGUUCAAGUCCAAUGAUAUCUUGCGCAAGCAGACCGCUCUCAGGUGGGAGAGGAAAAUGCCAAUGCUUAUCGGGAUUGUAGUACUAUUCACCAUUCACGUGUUUGGAGUCUACUGGUGGUACAUGAAUGAUGACCUUGUUAGACCGUUGGUGAUGCUUCCUCCAAAAGAAAUACCACCAUUCUGGCAUGCUAUAUUUUUCAUUGCGGUGAAUGAUACAAUGGUUCGGCAAGCUGCUAUGGUGGUCAAGUGUGUGCUUCUCAUGUACUACGUCGAAUAUCUCAAGCGACCUUGCCCUAUUUUAUGUCGAAUAUCUCAAGCGACAAAAUUUGCUCUCAAUGUACUGUUGCAGGAUCUGGAUAUCUCUGAAAAUUUAGUACUUUCUGGUGUUGAUCUCAAGUGUUGGCUCCUACAGCAUUGCAUUUCACCAAGUGAAAUGCUACAUUUCUACUCCUAA